rnacentral:rRNA from 1 species
UACGAAGGGGGCUAGCGUUGCUCGGAAUUACUGGGCGUAAAGGGCGCGUAGGCGGAUACUUAAGUCGGGGGUGAAAGCCCGGGGCUCAACCUCGGAAUUGCCUUCGAUACUGGGUAUCUUGAGUUCGGGGAGAGGUGAGUGGAAUGCCGAGUGUAGAGGUGAAAUUCGUAGAUAUUCGGCGGAACACCAGUGGCGAAGGCGACUCACUGGCCCGAUACUGACGCUGAUGCGCGAAAGCUAGGGGAGCAACAGG